GCUGUCGUCAGCUCGUGUUGUGAAAUGUUGGGUUAAGUCCCGCAACGAGCGCAACCCUUAUCCUUUGUUGCCAGCGAUUAGGUCGGGAACUCAAAGGAGACUGCCAGUGAUAAACUGGAGGAAGGUGGGGAUGACGUCAAGUCAUCAUGGCCCUUACGACCAGGGCUACACACGUGCUACAAUGGCGCAUACAAAGAGAAGCGACCUCGCGAGAGCAAGCGGACCUCAUAAAGUGCGUCGUAGUCCGGAUUGGAGUCUGCAACUCGACUCCAUGAAGUCGGAAUCGCUAGUAAUCGUGGAUCAGAAUGCCACGGUGAAUACGUUCCCGGGCCUUGUACACACCGCCCGUCACACCAUGGGAGUGGGUUGCAAAAGAAGUAGGUAGCUUAACCUUCGGGAGGGCGCUUACCACUUUGUGAUUCAUGACUGGGGUGAAGUCGUAACAAGGUAACCGUAGGGGAACCUGCGGUUGGAUCACCUCCUUA
rnacentral:rRNA from 3 species